rnacentral:rRNA from 1 species
CCUACGGGAUGCAGCCGUGGGGAAUAUUGCACAAUGGGGGAAACCCUGAUGCAGCGACGCCGCGUGAGUGAAGAAGUAAUUACUUACGUAAAGCUCUAUCAGCAGGGAAGAACAUGACGGUACCUGAGUAAGAAGCCCCGGCUAACUACGUGCCAGCAGCCGCUGUAAUACGGUGGGGGCAGGCGUUAUCCGGAUUUACUGGGUGUAAAGGGAGCGUUGACGGUGCUCCAAGUCUAGCGUGAAAUGCCGCAGCUUAACUGCGGAAAUGCUUUGGAAACUGGCGAACGAGAGUGCGCGAGGGGUAAGCGGAAUUCCUGGUGUAGCGGUGAAAUGCAUAGAUAUUAGGCAGAACCCCGGUGGCGAAGGCGGCUUACUGGACCGUAACUGACGUUGAGGCUCGAAAGCGUGGGGAGCAAACAGGAUUAGAUACCCUUGUAGUC